UACGUAGGGGGCUAGCGUUGUCCGGAUUUAUUGGGCGUAAAGGGCUCGUAGGCGGCCAUUCAAGUCAGAGGUGAAAGCCCAAGGCUCAACCUUGGAACUGCCUUUGAUACUGUUUGGCUUGAGACCGGUAGAGGUAAGUGGAACUGCGAGUGUAGAGGUGAAAUUCGUAGAUAUUCGCAAGAACACCAGUGGCGAAGGCGGCUUACUGGACCGGUUCUGACGCUGAGGCGCGAAAGCGUGGGGAGCAAACAGG
rnacentral:rRNA from 1 species